AAAUGAUACUGCUCAUUAAGAUCUGCUGAGAAAGAGGUGGGAAUACGUCUGUGGAGAAAGACAUAUGCUUGUGAACAGCCCUUGGAUCAAACCUAAAGGCUUACCUGUUCAAAGCUGGAAUGGACUGAUGAAUGUGAAGGGAUCCAGGAUGAGGAGAGCCCUGUGAAUGCCAGGUCAUGAACACUCAAGGCUGGAGGAAUUUCUCUGUGUCAGACUGCAGAGGUACACCCCCCCAGAGCCUGAAGAAACGAAUUUCCAGGAGGA